rnacentral:lncRNA from 1 species
AAGAAGAGAUAUGUGAAAUAUAAGGUGGAUCUUCAUAGACUCCAAUAGAUGUAAUUGAUAAGGAAUAUGAUUGAUUUGUUUACAAAUAGGAAAAGGUUCCAACCUACAAUAGUCCAACUUAUCACAAGGACAAGUAGUCUUGAUAUUGCAACAAAGUAACCAUAACUUGUCACCUACAUUGAAUUGUACUUGCUCUUUGCAAUAGGUAUCUGCAUUGGUCUUUUGUCAUUCUUGAGCUUCCUUUAAUUAAGUCUUCAUUGUUGUAUAUAGCUCUGAUAAAUAAUUUGAUAAAUCUUUUACUGUAGGAUUAUCAACUUUUGAAAAGUCAAAAAUAUUAAAUCAUGGAUGAUAAUCAUAAUUGGCAAAGAAAGAUGUUUAUUGAAUAGAAGAAUGUACCAAAUUAUUGUAUGCAAACUCUAUCAAUGGCAAAAGAAUUGUCCAAUCAUUUUGAUGAUAAUUG